rnacentral:rRNA from 1 species
UACGAGUGCCUCGAGCGUUAUCCGGAAUCAUUGGGCGUAAAGGGCUCGUAGGCGGUUCGUCACGUCGGGAGUGAAAACUCGGGGCUUAACCCCGAGCCUGCUUCCGAUACGGGCAGACUAGAGGUAGGCAGGGGAGAGCGGAACUCCUGGUGUAGCGGUGGAAUGCGCAGAUAUCAGGAAGAACACCGGUGGCGAAGGCGGCUCUCUGGGCCUUACCUGACGCUGAGGAGCGAAAGUGUGGGGAGCGAACGGG